CUCCAAGAGGAGGAAGGUUCACAUCAGAAAGCAGGGCUGCAUGCUGUCUUAAAGGCAUUAUUACUUCCUUAGGCUGGAGAUGCAAACAGUCCAGGCUCUGUCACAGGCCCUGUAUUUUUAGGAACUGAAUUUAUGACAAGAUGUUUCAAAGCAAUCUGUAUAAGGAAAAAGCAAGCCUGAGAUCCUGCUGUGCCCAUGCCAGGAGGUCCCAGGUUCCUUCCGAGCUUAUGGCCAGGAUUUGGUUUCAGCAGCAAUCUGAGGGAAGUGGUUGGCUCUUUCCUGCCUGCGCCUGGCCCACGUCCAGCAGCACAGAGGAGAAUGAAGAGGAUGGAUUUUGCUGGAGGCAAGAACUUGUCCAAAGUGUGGAUCUGCUGCAUGUGCUCAUCUGGAAUUUUUAACGCCGUGAGGCUCAAGGGACAUCUUGACUGUUCCUCAUUCCAACUCUUGCUGGAUUACUUGUCCAAGGCGUCAGAGAGGUGUUGCUGCAUCAGGAGCUGGCGGUGCCCAGAAGAUGAUGCAGGGAGAUGUUGGCUCUUUGCAGGGCUACAUCACCACCUUCUUGUAUUACCUCUGCAGAACAGCACUGCAUGUCCCAGAAGGCUUUGGUGGCUCAGGUAUAGCAGAGACAGCAAAAUUCACUGGUUUCAGUCUGUGGUGUGGUGGAAGGCAGAUCCUAUCAGAAACAUCUCUAUGUCAUCUGGUUGGACAAGACACCUACAGACCGCCGUGGCCGAGUGCUCUGUGUUUGCUUUGAAGUAGCCCAUGCAUCUGCAGGCUCUGCUCCUCACUCCUUCCUGACAUCCUCCGUGAUGACAUCUGUCAGGAUGAACUCCUUCCAUCGCUGUCCUCCAAACAGGGAGGCUGAUGGAGUUCGCAAUGUAAUAACCUCAUUCUCCUACAAAUCCUGA
rnacentral:lncRNA from 1 species